AACCUCCGCAAUGUGAGAAAUCGCGACGGGGGGAUCCCAAGUGCCAUUCUUAACGGGAUGGCUUUUCUUAAGUGUAAAAAGCUUUUGGAAUAAGAGCUGGGCAAGACCGGUGCCAGCCGCCGCGGUAACACCGGCAGCUCUAGUGGUAGCUGUUUUUAUUGGGCCUAAAGCGUUCGUAGCCGGUUUGAUAAGUCACUGGUGGAAUCCUGUAGCUUAACUGUGGGAAUUGCUGGUGAUACUGUUGAACUUGAGGUCGGGAGAGGUUAGCGGUACUCCCAGGGUAGAGGUGAAAUUCUGUAGUCCUGGGAGGACCACCUGUGGCGAAGGCGGCUAACUGGAACGAACCUGACGGUGAGGGACGAAAGCUAGGGGCGCGAACCGGAUUAGAUACCCGGGUAGUCCUAGCCGUAAACGAUGCGGACUUGGUGUUGGGAUGGCUUUGAGCCGCUCCGGUGCCGAAGGGAAGCUGUUAAGUCCGCCGCCUGGGAAGUACGGUCGCAAGACUGAAACUUAAGGAAAUU
rnacentral:rRNA from 1 species